UUGUUAUCCAGUCUCUUUGUGCUUGAGUAUAACCUAUUCUCCCAUUGUUUUACCAUUUUUUGUGGCUUGUGAAUACAUCGCCAUAAUUGUGUCCAAGUGGGCGCAAAAUGGAGCAACCAAAGUAGUUGUGGGUUUGACCUUUUAGUUGGUUGUGUUUGAUUUAGGAUAAGACACUGCAAACUCCGCCCAGAUUCCACGUAUUGAAGAUCACUUCCGCAACAAAUGGCAUCAGAGUGUGGUUAGUGUGGAUUUCCAGCAAAAAACAGUUCCAAAAACUGAUAAAAUUGGAGUAGAAAUCAAAUUGAAAAUUUGCCCAGAUUUUUUUUUUUUUGUAAAAAAUAAGACAUGUAAGCUCAAUUUUCGAGCAAUCCAAAGGUCCAUUGGUGAAACGGAGAUCAGAUUUGAGACAUACAAAUGGAGGUGCUCCUAGGUGUGUGGUGCUUGGAGUCAAUGGUGGUCGGCGACGGAGGCGCCUGGGCAAGAUUCUCGAGACGAUUUCUUCAGGUAGAAUAUUUCUAACUUGAUUUCUAAUGAUUUGGUGGUGUUAGUUUUCUGUUUUAGGUUAUACAAUGAUCUGGACGAUUUUGCCAAUGGACGCUUAGUUUUACGAUUAUCUAUUGAUCGUGUUGCUGCAUUCAUUGAAACUUUAGGAUGAAUUGUGGUGGUCUUGAAGCAUCAAAUUUGCAUACCUCGAUAUUUAUGAACUUUCAGACAUGGUCCAAUCUAAUAAAUUAGCUUAUCUCGAGGUUUUUGUGUGGAGUAACCAUUGUUUGUGCUAGAUUUUAGGAAUUACUUGCCCUAUAUUAUUACUUAUUUGAAGUGUUAAAUUUAAUUGCAAGUUCAUAAUUGCUUUUGUGCUUUAAUUGCCAUUAAAUCAUUUUGUGAAAAACUGAUUUAUUUAUUUAUUAUUUAUUUUUAUGUAUUUUUUUUUUUGGGUUAUAGUUUCACGUUGCAUUGAUCAUUCUAUUAGAACACUUAGACUCAACUCAUUUGACAA
rnacentral:lncRNA from 1 species